CGUCCCUAGUAAACAUUUGCUACUUCACGGAGAGAUCCGUGAUGACAAUGUGGCUAAUAACGGUGAAAUCUUCAUUAUUUUUGAGUCCGUUGAUAAUCAUCAUUGAUGUGGUCCAUCAGUGGAGAUACAAUGUACUUGAGGACUCAAAAAAAUAAGACAAUACCGUGGGAAGUCAAUCAGCAUUAAAAUGCUUGGUUUGACCCCGUAACGACUUGAUUGCGCGCUGUUACAUAUAAACACGCGAUCAGAUGGUGUACAGAAAUGGCAGUGAGUAUGUGCAAAAGCACAAACACCAUAACACGCCAACGCCCUCGCUUUCGAGAUGAAAGACGGGCGAAGAUAUAGUCUGCGCCAUUAGAAAUAAUGGA
rnacentral:autocatalytically_spliced_intron from 1 species